rnacentral:rRNA from 1 species
GCCCAGACUCCUACGGGAGGCAGCAGUGAGGAAUAUUGGUCAAUGGGCGCAAGCCUGAACCAGCCAAGUCGCGUGAGGGAUGACGGUCCUAUGGAUUGUAAACCUCUUUUGUCGGGGAGCAAGGCCCGCCACGUGUGGCGGGAAGGAGAGUACCCGAAGAAAAAGCAUCGGCUAACUCCGUGCCAGCAGCCGCGGUAAUACGGAGGAUGCGAGCGUUAUCCGGAUUUAUUGGGUUUAAAGGGUGCGUAGGCGGAAGGUUAAGUCAGCGGUCAAAUGUCGGUGCUCAACACCGGCCUGCCGUUGAAACUGGUCUUCUUGAGUGAGCGAGAAGUAUGCAGAAUGCGCGGUGUAGCGGUGAAAUGCAUAGAUAUCGCGCAGAACCCCGAUUGCGAAGGCAGCGUGCCGUGCCGCCACUGACGCUGAGGCACGAAAGCGCGGGGAUCGAACAGGAUUAGAUACCCCAGUAC